rnacentral:rRNA from 1 species
AGUGAACGCUGGCGGUAGGCCUAACACAUGCAAGUCGAACGGCAGCACAGUAAGAGCUUGCUCUUACGGGUGGCGAGUGGCGGACGGGUGAGGAAUACAUCGGAAUCUACUUUUUCGUGGGGAAUACCGAGGGAAAAUUACGGCUAUAACCCAAUAGAACCACCGGGGAAAGGAAGGGGACUUUGGGCCUUUGCCCGUUGGAUGAAGCCGAUGUCGGAUUAGCUAGUUGGCGGGGUAAAGGCCCACCAAGGCGACGAUCCGUAGCUGGUCUGAGAGGAUGAUCAGCCACACUGGAACUGAGACACGGUCCAGACUCCUACGGGAGGCAGCAGUGGGGAAUAUUGGACAAUGGGCGCAAGCCUGAUCCAGCCAUACCGCGUGGGUGAAGAAGGCCUUCGGGUUGUAAAGCCCUUUUGUUGGGAAAGAAAAGCAGCAGGUUAAUACCCCGCUGUUCUGACGGUACCCAAAGAAUAAGCACCGGCUAACUUCGUG